GUCCGGGGACGCCCCGGGGAGCAGCAGCACCUCCUCUGAACCCGCUGCGGUGCAGACCACUGCGAAAGAGCAGGGCAAAGCGAGAUCUGCUGCUGCUGCUGCUGGUGAAGAAGAGGAAGAGGGAUCUUCAUCACUUCAUCCUCCUCCUGCCAAAAAACUGAAAGUGGAGCAUGACAAGAAAAAGGAGAAGCGGCAAAAAGUUGAUGAAGAUGAAAUAUAAAAGAUGCAAGUUUUAGUAUCAUCAUUCUCUGAAGAACAGCUGAACCGCUAUGAGAUGUACAGACGCUCGGCUUUCCCAAAGG